rnacentral:rRNA from 1 species
UGGGGAAUAUUGGGCAAUGGGCGAAAGCCUGACCCAGCAACGCCGCGUGAGGGAAGAAGGUUUUCGGAUUGUAAACCUCUGUCCUCAGCGAGGAGCAGGAGACGGUAACUGAGGAGGAAGCCCCGGCUAACUACGUGCCAGCAGCCGCGGUAAUACGUAGGGGGCGAGCGUUGUCCGGAAUGAUUGGGCGUAAAGGGCGCGUAGGCGGCCUGUUAAGUCUGGAGUGAAAGUCCUGCCUUCAAGGUGGGAAUUGCUUUGGAUACUGGCGGGCUUGAGUGCAGGAGAGGUUAUCGGAAUUCCCGGUGUAGCGGUGAAAUGCGUAGAGAUCGGGAGGAACACCAGUGGCGAAGGCGGGUAACUGGACUGCAACUGACGCUGAGGCGCGAAAGUGUGGGGAGCAAACAG